UCGGAUAUGGUGUAACGGUUUAACAUGGCUGUCUUUCACCUGAGUCAGCUGGAUCACAGCAGCCCCGGGUUCGACUCCCGGUAUCCGAA